rnacentral:piRNA from 1 species
UCAACCCUAGCAGUACGCAAAGAUUUCCUGA